AGAAACACACAACAGGAAACGGAAGGCCAAUCAAUGGACUUACAUCCAACUCCUAACAACAAACACAAACAGGAAAUAGACUGCCAAUAAAUGGUCUUACAUCUAACUCCACAAACAACAAACGGGAAACCGAAUACCAAUAGAUGGACUUACAUCAGACUCCGGACAAGCAAAUGCCAACAGGAAACAGAAUGCCAAUGGCUGGUCUUACUUCCAACUCCUAACAACAAACACAAACAGGAAACAAACUGCCAAUAAAUGGACUUAUGUCCGACUCCA
rnacentral:lncRNA from 1 species